rnacentral:piRNA from 1 species
AGGAAAGGAAUAUUCUGCUGGGA